rnacentral:tRNA from 1 species
UGUGGCUCAGUGAUAGAGCACUUGCCUAGCAUGUAUGAGGCAUUGAGUUUGAUUCUCAGCA